UACGGAGGGGGCAAGCGUUGUUCGGAAUUACUGGGCGUAAAGGGCGCGUAGGCGGCUUGGCAAGUUGGGCGUGAAAGCCCUGGGCUUAACCCAGGAAUUGCGCUUGAGACUGCCAGGCUUGAGUCCGGGAGAGGUGAGUGGAACUGCGAGUGUAGAGGUGAAAUUCGUAGAUAUUCGCAAGAACACCAGUGGCGAAGGCGGCUCACUGGCCCGGUACUGACGCUGAGGUGCGAAAGCGUGGGGAGCAAACAGG
rnacentral:rRNA from 1 species